UCUCCAUAACAAAAGUCUCUUUUAUUUUUUGAAAUCUUAUGUGAUACUACUAUACUAGUGACAGUAAUUCAACCAAAAACGGCUUCUUUGCUAAGGAUUCUGCUAAUUGAGAAAGGAUUCAAUUGAUAUUUAAAUGUAGGUUUGAGUAAAGGCUUUCACUGGAAGAAGAAAUUCGUUAAUAAUGAAAGAUGUUUUCACAGCAUGACUGAUCCCUGGUAUGUAGUAAAUCACUUAUAAUAGCUCUCUCACACAGUGCCAAAGGAAAUGAGUUAUGAUUUAUGUCAUUGAUGUUGAUCUUUAUGAGUUUAUGGCACAUACUCAAGAUUUUGAAUAUAACUGUUUUUGAAAUUGUAGUUUUUUUGUAUGCAACGAUUUUUUUUUUUUUUUUCUGGAUUUAUUACUGUGUAACAUUUUAUAGAGUUCACUGCAUUUUGAUUGGCCUUAAACAGAAGAACUGUCAGUAAUCAUGGCCAACAUUAAUGCAGAAGUUUUUUAUGUGGCAAAGGUACAUUCCUCGAGAGUCCUUCAGAGGGUAGCUAGCCAUCAUAGCAAUACCACAUAACUGUUGUCACACUAGAUCAGCACUUCAUCUUGAGCUUCACACCAGCUAGUGCCCCAAGAAUUUGUCACAAGUCAGUAUUCUUGGCCUUUUCUUCACAUACCAAAUCCAAGGAUCCAACUACUGUUACACCGUGAUUCAAGAUGUCGCCAUAAUUGCCAAAAUAGACACCUUUAGAGGAGAGUUGAGCUUCCUCAUCGUUUGGUUUAUCGCUGAGCAGCCAUUUAUUCCAACUGAAAGAGUCCAUCCAAGAAGCAGUAUGGUAUCUAUUUCAAUAACUACUAUGAGCUAUCUCACUCUGAUUUUAUGCAAGAAAUUGAGCUGCAUAUAUAAGAGACAUGCAAAACAACUGGAAAAGGUAUGUACACCAUUGCACUAGACCUUACACUCUAUUGAAAGAUCAUUUAACAGUACUUCUGGGUGGCAAAGUUCAUAAUUUUCAUACCGCAACUUCCCUGAUUUUGGCUGGAGUUACAGCACCGCUCUCUCUCCAGUGAACGCUGUCUGGCAAUCUAACGCCAUGGUUGUGUGGCUUAAAACUUAUUGUUUGUGAUAUCUGCAAACUGAUUAUCGCUGAUGAGUUUGUACAAAAGGUUCAGACCAUUGAGGAUAACUCAAGUAGAUAGAUUGAAACCAUGUUUGUAUUAGCAUGUAAGAUUGUGCAGCAUGAAUGCUUGGUCAUUGAGGAUACCAGAUGUUCUGGUAAUUCAGUUAAGUACCCCUGCAACUGUUUCUUUCUUUGAUUCAA